GGCGUAUUAGCUAGUUGGUGAGGUAAAGGCUCACCAAGGCAGUGAUACGUAGCCGACCUGAGAGGGUAAUCGGCCACAUUGGGACUGAGACACGGCCCAGACUCCUACGGGAGGCAGCAGUAGGGAAUCUUCCACAAUGGACGCAAGUCUGAUGGAGCAACGCCGCGUGAGUGAAGAAGGGUUUCGGCUCGUAAAGCUCUGUUGUUAAAGAAGAACGUGGGUAAGAGUAACUGUUUACCCAGUGACGGUAUUUAACCAGAAAGCCACGGCUAACUACGUGCCAGCAGCCGCGGUAAUACGUAGGUGGCAAGCGUUAUCCGGAUUUAUUGGGCGUAAAGCGAGCGCAGGCGGUCUUUUAAGUCUAAUGUGAAAGCCUUCGGCUCAACCGAAGAAGUGCAUUGGAAACUGGGAGACUUGAGUGCAGAAGAGGACAGUGGAACUCCAUGUGUAGCGGUGAAAUGCGUAGAUAUAUGGAAGAACACCAGUGGCGAAGGCGGCUGUCUGGUCUGCAACUGACGCUGAGGCUCGAAAGCAUGGGUAGCGAACAGGAUUAGAUACCCUGGUAGUCCAUGCCGUAAACGAUGAUUACUAAGUGUUGGAGGGUUUCCGCCCUUCAGUGCUGCAGCUAACGCAUUAAGUAAUCCGCCUGGGGAGUACGACCGCAAGGUUGAAACUCAAAAGAAUUGACGGGGGCCCGCACAAGCGGUGGAGCAUGUGGUUUAAUUCGAAGCUACGCGAAGAACCUUACCAGGUCUUGACAUCUUCUGACAGUCUAAGAGAUUAGAGGUUCCCUUCGGGGACAGAAUGACAGGUGGUGCAUGGUUGUCGUCAGCUCGUGUCGUGAGAUGUUGGGUUAAGUCCCGCAACGAGCGCAACCCUUAUUACUAGUUGCCAGCAUUAAGUUGGGCACUCUAGUGAGACUGCCGGUGACAAACCGGAGGAAGGUGGGGACGACGUCAAAUCAUCAUGCCCCUUAUGACCUGGGCUACACACGUGCUACAAUGGAUGGUACAACGAGUCGCGAGACCGCGAGGUUAAGCUAAUCUCUUAAAACCAUUCUCAGUUCGGACUGUAGGCUGCAACUCGCCUACACGAAGUCGGAAUCGCUAGUAAUCGCGGAUCAGCAUGCCGCGGUGAAUACGUUCCCGGGCCUUGUACACA
rnacentral:rRNA from 1 species